GGAUCGGGAGGCUGCCUUCGGGACGGUGGCCAUGAAUUGAUCCGAACACGCUGUCUCGUAUGGGCAAGGUGCCGGGGCCCGGCGGCAUCCUUG
rfam:Leisingera methylohalidivorans DSM 14336 strain MB2, DSM 14336, complete genome.